rnacentral:rRNA from 1 species
AGAGUUUGAUCAUGGCUCAGAAUCAACGCUGGCGGCGUGCGUAACACAUGCAAGUCGAACGGGAAAGCGGGGGCAACUCCGCGAGUAUAGUGGCAGACGGGUGAGUAACACGUGAACAAUCUACCCUUGAGAGGGGAAUAACCCCGCGAAAGCGGGGCUAAUACCGCAUAACAUCCCUGAGUCGCAUGGCACAGGGAUCAAAGGCUCCGGUCGCUCAAGGAGGAGUUCGCGGCUGAUUAGCUAGUUGGUGAGGUAACGGCCCACCAAGGCAACGAUCAGUAGCCGGCCUGAGAGGGCGUACGGCCACACUGGAACUGAGACACGGUCCAGACUCCUACGGGAGGCAGCAGUGGGGAAUUUUGCGCAAUGGGCGAAAGCCUGACGCAGCAACGCCGCGUGGAGGAUGAAGGCCUUCGGGUCGUAAACUCCUGUCAGGGGGGACGAAACGCCCGGCAACGGGCAUGACUUACCCUCGAGAG